rnacentral:lncRNA from 1 species
AUUCUUUGGGAUGAAUUUUGCCUAAAAAGGCAUUACAUAUUUUCUAUAGUUCUCAGGUUUCGGUUUGUGAUGUUUUUGAGAAAUACUUAAAUUCUGAAACUCUUACAGCCCUCUUCUGACUAGCCUUGGGGCAACUUCAGUAGUAGGAACAUUCUAGAUGUAAAUUAAAACAUUUUAGCAAGGUAAAGCUAUUCAAAAUAAUGACUCAGUUUGGCAGUCAGAAAGUAAUUCUCCUGGAAGCAUUCACACUGGGGUAUUCACCAGCAAAUGAGAAACACUUAACUAGAAGAUUGAAAGGGAAGAAUGAAAUCAUUGUUUCCAAUUCUCAGCAGCUUUCACUUCUAUUCUUCCUUAACUAGUCAGUUCACAAAUUGUUGUGAGAGAAUAUAGUUUAGGUUAAAUCUUCAAGUCUUACCUGUAGUGUUAUUUAAGUGAUCUUGGUAUAUGUAAUAAACACACAAUUGAGCAGCUAAUUGUUGCAGCAUAACUCCAAUCCAAUUGCACAUUCACUUUCAGGUGCCACAGGGUCUUCUAAGCCCUGGUGAAUGCUGUAAAGCAAAUACAUCUCAUUUAUCUCUUUGCAUAUUCCACAAAUUUUACCAUAUAACCUAUAUGUAGGAACUCUCAUUCCAUACUUAUCUUUAGUCUGUGUAUAGAGACAGAAUAUUGACCGAGAAUAGAAAAAUAAGGCUGGUUAGAUUACCUUUGUCAAGCUUAUGCUACACCCUAAUGGGGUUCAGGACACACUAUCCCAAAAUGUAGCUAGACAAUGAGUUCUCUGAGAGCAGGAUCCACCUAUUUGGUUGUAAUAGUUUUGUUUCUAUAAAUGUUGAAUGAGUGGAUCGAUUUAUCAAAAUAGAGUUUAUGAACAUAAAAAAUUGCCUUAUGCAACCAAGUUUGAUAAUAACAACAUGACCUUGAUAUUAAACUGAAAAAAGGCAUCUUCCAGUCUCUACUAUUACCACCUCUCCCCAACUAUUAUAGCCAUUCAAAUCUCUAACCAGGCUGAAUAUUAAAUAAAAUGGUUUACCAUCUGAUGUUAAGGUAUAAAGAUAAGAUUUUUUUUUUUCUGAAUUAAAAAAAAUAGUCCAAAGAAGAAGGAAGAAGAAAGGGGAUAUAAUGAGAAUGUAAGUAUCCAAGAAAUAUUGACUGUUUUGAUUUAUGUAAUGAAAUUAAAAAGUCGAAAGCCAGUUUUAAAGCAUUUCAAAGUAAUAUCACAGAAAUUAAUUUGAAGGAUACAUUUAAUGUUUUGAAUCAUAACCUGUCAAGCCUGGCAUGCAUUUUAACUGAGUUUUAAAAAAAAGCAUUCUGACGCUAUUGUAUGGACAUUAGAGUUUUAAAUACAACAGAACUACCUAAGAAAUAAUGAUACAAUAGAAAUCAGUUUCCUGGCUGUAAUAAAGUAUUUCAGUUGAAAUCAUGAUAAAUGUUAAAGGAAAUAUUUUGAUUAUUUAAAUAACAAAAUUGGCUGUUUGUAAAACCUGGUUAAACCUGAUAACUUCUAGAACAAUAUUUCUGAUUUUAACUCCAUUCUGCUUUCCUUAAUUUUGUACAGACACACACAUGCACAUAAGUUUAUUAAAUUUUCACAAACUGAACACCCCUGUGCAACCAAUACCUGGAUCUAAAAAGAGAACAUUUUCAACCCACCAAAAGCCCCUGCGCCCAGGUGAAAUAAACAGCCUUGUUGCUCAC